rnacentral:rRNA from 1 species
AGGUCACUGACAUUAGAUACCCCUGUAGUCCAGGGUGUAAACGCUGCAGACUUGGUGUUGGAGGCCCUUUGGGGGCAUUCAGUGCCGGAGAGAAGUUGUUAAGUCUGCUACUUGGGGAGUACGUCCGCAAGGAUGAAACUUAAAGGAAUUGGCGGGGGAGCACCGCAACGGGAGGAGCGUGCGGUUUAAUUGGAUUCAACACCGUAAAACUCACCAGGGAAGACUGUUACAUGAAGGCCGAGAUGAAGACUCUGCUAGAUUUUCAG